ncrna:Nicotiana tabacum cultivar TN90 Ntab-TN90_scaffold766, whole genome shotgun sequence
CGGAUAGAUUAUUGUAUUCGACUGUAUUUACGGCGUGAAACAGGGAGUUACAUUAUUUUUAAAUGGAAAGUGGAUCAAUUAACAUAAUAGACUCUU